rnacentral:rRNA from 1 species
CGCCCCUCCACCUUCCCUACCCAGGUCGCCGCACACCACCGCCGCCGCCGCCGCCGCGAAUCCCCGGGGACGCCGCACGCCGCCGCCGCCACCGCAAAUCCCCAGGGACGCCGCACGCCGCCGCCGCUGCGAAUCCCCAGGGACGCCGCACGCCACCGCCGUCGUGAAUCACCAGAGACGCCGCUCGCCGCCGCCGCGAAUCCCCAGGGAUGUCGCUGCCACCGCCGCGGAUCCCCAAGGGCGUGGUCGCGUUGCCCUGAUUGGAGGAGACCCUGUCGGCCUUGCCUUGUUUGGAGGACUGUGUGCGUCAAUCCCGACCUCCGCUUUCCCCCUUUUCCAUCAAGGACCGCCGCCGCUGCUUCGUCUUCUAUCUCUGCGGAUCCCCAUCGGCACCUGCUGGAUGGUGCUCCGGGAACAGGGCCGCACGGAGGCCCUCCACCCGUAGGUUGUGCAGACGCGGCGCGCCUUGCAGCGGCUAUUCGGGAUGAGCGCGGGCGCGACAACCUUGUCCCAGUCGACGAUGGUGGCGGCGAAUGCCGGUGCUCCUUCUCGUCCUCUACCUCCAAGGACGCGCACCGGUAUAGCUCAGACACCCCCGUCCCCAAAUCCCGUCCACCCAUCCGGCGUUGUCCAGCUCAUCCUCACGCUCGUGGAUUCGCCUCCUCCUGUACGCGACACUUAAAACGUGGACGUGGUGAGCUUCCCCUCUCUCUACCCCCAAAUCUGGAUGGCACUAGCAUCUGUUACAUACAUACAUAUGGAUAAACAUCUUGGUUGGUUCUUUGGUUCAGUUUGUAUUCAGUCUGUAUGCGUCUGGAUGUGAAUGGCACUUGCAGUAUGCGGCUGCUCCUUGGUUGUCCAUUUGUAUGCGUCCAUAGUCUGAAGCAGAACCUCCAUCUUCUAUCUCAACGUCGGCAGCCCGACGGCGCCGACUCCUUAUCGACGCCCGUCGGCGGCCCGGUGAUGCGACCAGAUCACUGCAAAUUGCUCCAUUCAUGUCAGCAGCCUGAUCAGGUGGAGGUGGUCGUGCUGGCGCCACUGUUUUGCUUCAUGCUGAUGCGGUAUAAAAGUGCCUCCUCGGCAGAUGAGGACCUGAGCGUGGCCAUGCUAAUGAGGAUGCAGGAUCCACCGCCACCGGCCAGUCCGAGUGAUUGCAGAGAACUUGGCAGGCAGAUCAAUUACGAGGAGGUCAAGGCUGAGCUAGAAUGGGGUGGGCGCCAACAUGAAGGAGCUGGAGAUAUCUCUAUUUUUGUCAGUCAUUAUUCAGGCUCUAAGCUUCCCCUUUCCCUAUACCACAUUACUUGAUAUUAUUAAAUUCAGUAUGCUUACUCAACUGUGAACAAGUUCAUGUGGUAAGUAGGAUCAACAAGAGUUGGCUGGCAACUGCUAUGUAUAUGUUAUUAUGGAUCAGCCAAGGUGGUUAAAUUUUAUUUUUUUCCUUUUUCUUAAUUUAUGCCCUUAAGUUUAUGCUGUUAAAUGCAUACACAUAACUUAGUUCCAGAUUUAACAAGAGUACAUUUUACAAUGAACUUCAUAGCUGAUGUUGAUCAUAAUUAGUAAGUGUACAAAGCAUUUCAAGGAAUUUCUGUUUUGUGCAUAUUGUAUAUUGCAGACUUGCAGUGAAGUAGUGCCAUCUAAGUACCAGAUGUAUGUUAUUUUCAAAUAAGCUUUUCUUAAAAUGGAAAAUACUAAAAAGCAAAUUGUGCCACACCGUGCAAUUAAGGUGCCUUUUACUGGAAACUCAAUGCAACUUCUUGUUAUUUUCAAAUAAGCUUUUCUUAAAAUGGAAAAUACUAAAAGGCAGAUUGUGCCACACCGUGCAAUUAAGGUGCCUUUUACUGGAAACUCAAUGCAACUUCUUGUUAUUCCUUCUGAACCUAGCAAUUAAGCCAUAUCUUGUUUUCACUCCUUCUGAACCUAGCAAAAUGACCUGCUUGGACCGAACGAGGACAGGUGUGUGGUGGUGGACAUAAGAUGCACGGCGAACAUUGAGCUACAGAAGAACAUUAUGAAAGAGGUUGGAGAGGCUGGAGGAGACCAUAUACCAACACAAAGCGCAUCUUGAUGGCCAUCAAUGAGGAGCUGGACCUGCUACACCAGGCUAAUUGCAAGCAUUGGGAUGAUUUGGAUGAGAUGACUGAUGAGGACAUGAGCGUUGUCGGAUGAUUUGGACGAGAGGACUGUAGCACGACGCAAUGAAGAGCCAGAUCGUCCGUCCGCUCCCAGCUCACUUCCCAGUUCUGUUGUGCUGCCCCGUGCACCAACCAUCCAGUAAAGGUUCUGAGGUUAACAUCUCUUUUGCAAGUUUCGUAUAACUUUCGUUGUCACUUUAUUAUCUAUUGAUCCACAUGUUUGUAUUUUAACAGACAUGAGUACUUUAUCAUCUUUCCAGGAAGAAAUUACUAGAGAGAAGAAAACUCAGUUUUACAAGUAGUGACAGUCCAACAUCAUAUUGACACAUCUGGUUUCUCUUUCCACAAGCAGGGUCGAGUGGGGUGAUAUACUAGGCGCUUUCUUCUAAAUUGUACAGAAAGUCCACUGAGUUAUUGUUGUUUGUAUGCCACCUUAGAGCGAAAUAGUACUUCUUUUAAUCAUUUUUUAGGUGAAAUACAAGCAUGUAGCUACCUCACUUAAUUAUUGUACUCACUUGAAGUUUAUGUUGAUACAAUGCACUAUUUAAGUAGUAGAGAAACCUCACAAAUUUAAAUUGAUGAAUGAUAUUUAGGAAAAGAAGUAGGCAUGUUUCAUUAUAAAGGGAAAGUCUUUUUCAAGGCAUAGUGUUUAAUUCAUGAAUGGUUAAACAGUUUAACGGGGACCAACACUGGGUAGCAGGGGAGUGGCAGUGCAUAGAGAUAUAGUGAGGGGAGCGGGGGCGAUGAUGGAGGCGGAGAUGUUUAGAGAGAGAUAUAGAGAGUGGGAGGUUCACCAUGGUGCAAUCGAAAACCAAGGCACACCUUGCUAAGACAAGCACACUUUAAAACAUAGCAAUACUCUGCAUUGUUUGAUGUUGGUAUCAGGACCAGGUACCAUGUGAAGCUCAAGGAAUGGUUGUAGAUCAUUAUGGAUAAACUAAAAAAAAAGAUCAUUAUGGAGUACAUUAUAAACGGCAUUUGGUGUCGGCGGCAUGUCACUACCACUGACAAAGUUCUCUGAAACACGAUUACUAUCAUGUACAAUGCUUUACAGUUCUCUCAUAUUCAAAUGCUAAAAUUCUGUAAUUUCAUAUUUAGUAGUUUCUGCGGUGUGAAAUUCAUGUUUUAUUUUGCUUGUGCAGUUGAAAAUAAAUGUUGGCAAAGAUAUUAAAAUUCAAAUCUGGCUUAUUUUUCUCAAUAUGGGUUCAGAAGGAAAUUGUCGUUGAGCUUCUAUCUAAAGGCACUUUUUCAUUAGAUUUCAGCAGCGGCUGAUGGCAGCAACCUCAUGGGCCACACAUCCCCUUCUUUAAUUGCAUGCCCUCACAAAAUGGAUGGGGACUUGGUUCUUUGGUUGUCGCCGCCGGACUCAGUGAAGGACGAAAAAUUGAGAUGAUCUAGUGGAGAAUAGAUGCCACGGGCUGAAGAAAGGAGGCGACGGUUUCAGAGCACACACCUUGAAGCGGAGAGGCGGCAAGGGAGUGCGUCUGGAUGGCAAGAGGGAGCGGGACAAGGCAACAUCACAUGGGAGGCAUGGUCAAAAUCGGCGCCGUAGGAGCAAUCGUGCGCGUGGGGGUCGUACCAGGGAGAAGGAAAAGGAUGGUCGGUUUUCUAGGGCUUUUUUCCUUGCAUCGGGAAAUGGGUUUGGUUGAAAAAAACGAUGAUGUGGGGAGGUUAUGCGAGUGGUGGAUACGUGGGUACCAUUUAAUGUACCAAGUGCGCUUUAAUAGUAGAGAUUAAGAUGUUGAUAUUUUAUUCAUUUUCUUCUUAGCUGAACAUUCUUUAAACCAAAAAUCUAUGAAACUUGUAAUGUAUCAUGGUCG